GUCGAGGGGCAGCGGGGGAGUAGCAAUACUCCCGCCGGCGACCGGCGCACGGGUGAGUAACACGUAUGAAACCUGCCCGUAGCAGGGGGAUAAGCGGAAGAAAUUCCGUCUAAUACCGCGUAACAACCCAUGGAGGCAUCUCCGUGGGUUUAAAGGAAGCGAUUCCGGCUACGGAUGGUCAUGCGUCGCAUUAGCUUGUUGGCGGGGUAACGGCCCACCAAGGCGACGAUGCGUAGGGGUUCUGAGAGGAAGGUCCCCCACACUGGUACUGAGACACGGACCAGACUCCUACGGGAGGCAGCAGUGAGGAAUAUUGGUCAAUGGCCGCAGGGCUGAACCAGCCAAGUCGCGUGAGGGAUGACGGUCCUAUGGAUUGUAAACCUCUUUUGUCAGGGAGCAAAGGGCGCCACGUGUGGCGUUUUGCGAGUACCUGAAGAAAAAGCAUCGGCUAACUCCGUGCCAGCAGCCGCGGUAAUACGGAGGAUGCGAGCGUUAUCCGGAUUUAUUGGGUUUAAAGGGUGCGCAGGCGGAAUGUCAAGUCAGCGGUAAAAUUUCGGGGCUCAACCCCGUCGUGCCGUUGAAACUGGCGUUCUUGAGUGAGCGAGAAGUAUGCGGAAUGCGUGGUGUAGCGGUGAAAUGCAUAGAUAUCACGCAGAACUCCGAUUGCGAAGGCAGCAUGCCGGCGCUCAACUGACGCUCAUGCACGAAAGCGUGGGUAUCGAACAGGAUUAGAUACCCUGGUAGUCCACGCAGUAAACGAUGAAUACUAACUGUCCGGGCAG
rnacentral:rRNA from 1 species